CCAAUUUUGCCCUAAGAAAUAGCACACGAUGGAACAAUCUCUCUGACAACGACAACUUGACAAGUCAGCCAUGUUGGACUUAAUUCUGCAAACAUAUGAUGUGCUUAAUGCAGUAGGGGAUGGUGCUUCUCACUGUCGAUAAGCACAUACAAAAGCUCACACGAUUGACAUUCAGCAAAACCAAAAAACAAAUGUAGAUUUUUGCAGUCUUGCAGAACCAAUUUUUUCGAAAGCAUCGGUAACUCUUCGUCUGAAAUACUUGUUUUAGAUUUGUCUAGAUACGGUUGUAUCUAUACAUGUUUUAUUAUUAAAUAUAUUUUUAGACAAUGAUAUUAGAUACGUCUAUAUCUUCACAAAUCUAAGAACAACUCUAGCAGAUGCGCUAUAACCUCGCCGGCCUACAUAUUUUCAGUGAAUUUAGCGUAUUUGUAUGUUUUGCAACCCAAACAGUUCUUGUAUAUUUGGUUCGGCCCGUAAAAAAUAUACUAGCAGCCCGCAAAACCGACCCCAGCCGCUAUAUCUGCCGAUCACGAGGUGAUUUAGGGUGCGUUCUUCAGUUCCUUUGUCGUCUCCUUUCUCAGCUGUCUCCCUUUCCAAACUCCGGCGAGAGAUUCCGUGGUGGGGAGUCCAUUUCCUCCAGAUCUAUGGCGGGAGGGCUUGCGGGCGUAGUGGUUGUUGGCGCAGCUCUCUCACACACAGUUGGACGGAGGUAGAAGAAAGAGCAGAACAAAGGAGCCUUUCCAGCGACAAACCCCCCGGCUGCAUGUACAGCCAUGUUUCUA
rnacentral:lncRNA from 1 species